rnacentral:rRNA from 1 species
CCCUAUGGGGUGCUGGGUACCGGAGGUGAGCACCUUUAUUGUGCAGGUUCCGGCAGCAAGUUCAUCGUCGCCAAGAAUGAGAGCGAGGCGUGAACCUCUUUUCGAAGCUCUGGCCAGUUGCUUUGCAAAGCCAUCCCCACGCGCGUCUAUAUCCACUGCCCACCCGUUGCCUGCAAGGGCGUGACGCAGCUGGAAUGCUGUUGCGACGGCUGACUCGGAAUGGACAAUGUAAGCGCGAGGCAUCGCCAAUGAUGCCACAAGGUCCGGAUAGCGUGUAGCCAGGACCGAUGUCAGGCGUUCGAGACCGAGUCCCCAGCCAACGGCGGGAGUCUGUGGACCACCAAGCUGGUGGACCAGGUAAUCGUAUCUGCCGCCGCCGAGCAGCGCAUUCUGAGAGC